CGAUUAUCAGGGUGUUCGCAGCGGACACCUUAGUAAUCGAUUCUUUACCAUAGCUUCAAAUGGCGAGAUCUCGAUAAUCGAUCAUUCACGCCACGCCACUGGUCGUGUGUCAUGUUUAGUGGCGAGGCGUGAAUGCUCGAUUAUCGAUAUUUCUCCUUUUGAAGCUAUGAUAAAGAAUCGAUUAUUUAGGUGUUCGUUGCGAGCACCCUGUCUAUCGAUCCUUUUCUAUAGGUUCAAAUGGCAAAUCAAUCGAUAUAUCGAAAAGCACGACACACCACUGGUCAUGUUCCACUCGAACCUGUAAUAUUAUUAACCGAUUGAAGUCGUGAGAUAGGUCAGGGUCCACUUUUGAUGAUUGUUGUCGCGUCUACUAGUCCAUUAUCAGUAAUUACUCUUAAAGUGAACUAAUCCUCACGUCAUUUUGUCCUUGUCAAAGGCCAGUUUAUCGACAUGCUGUAAAUUUCGAUAAAAAAUAUAAUUACUUAUUGCUCAAACGCUUGACUUUAUUUAAAUUGAAUUCUGUCGGCAGGUUUUUUCUCAAGGCUGGGUCAUCAGUAAUCAGCUUCAUCAGAACCCGGAACAUUGGAUAAAACACUCAGAGCAGAACGCAUCAUCCAGCGUUGUCCUGGAAUUCAUCAGUAAAGAAUCGGGCUCGUACCACGUAUCAUGGCUCGAAAUUGCCCGAAGGAAGCCGUCGAGCCCGCUGGCGGAGAAGGACCAGUUGAUCAGCGAGUGUCUGCACCGGUGCCCGGAGAUCGACGCGUGCAUCAACUCCUCGCUGUGGUGCGACGGCGUGGACCACUGCCCGUCCGGCUACGACGAGUCGCUCACCCACUGCUUCUACCUCUUCAAGCUGCCGGCCCUCUACCUCCUCAUCAUCGGCGUCGGGGUCCUCCUCUGCUGCUGCUUCGUCUGUGUCCUCCACGCCUUCGUCGCCAAGAACUCCGAGAGCAAGCUCAAGUCCCUGCCUUCCGACACGGAGGCCAUCAUGAACCAUAAGGAGCUCAUCAGCUGACAUACGGACUCGCUCGUGAGAUAUGUCGAGGUCGACCGCGUUACCACUGUGUGAGGUGUCCACGAGCGAUUUUUCAUCUUUUUUUCAUUUUUUUUAUUUAUUUACAGAACUAGAAGUGCUGAAGGAUUUAAGUAGACCACCUGUAUGGGGAGAGUCUGGAUAUGCAGAGAUGUAGAGCUCCAAGGGCCCACGAGAGCAGCCAACCCUCUAACAUAUCGUCACCUUCCCGGCAAAGUAUCACAAGCGCCAUGCGACGUUUAAAAAUUUCUGCCGCCAUUUUAUUUUCUAACAGAGAAAUUGUUCAACGAAGCUGUCCAAAAU
rnacentral:lncRNA from 1 species